CGGGGUGAGUAAUGCUUGGGAAUCUGGCUUAUGAGGGGGAGUAACUACGGGAAACUGUAGCUAAUACCGCGUAGUGUCGAGAGACGAAAGUGCGGGACCGAAAGGCCGCAUGCCAUGAGAUGAGCCCAAGUGGGAUUAGGUAGUUGGUGGGGUAAAGGCCUACCAAGCCUGCGAUCUCUAGCUGGUCUGAGAGGAUGGCCAGCCACACUGGAACUGAGACACGGUCCAG
rnacentral:rRNA from 1 species